ACUCCUACGGGAGGCAGCAGUGGGGAAUAUUGCGCAAUGGGGGCAACCCUGACGCAGCAGCCGCGUGGGGGAUGAAGGCCUUCGGUUGUAAGCCUGUGGGGAGGACGAAUAAGUCGUGGCGAACAGCCACGAUGAUGACGGUAUCCCCUUAGCAAGCACCGGCUAACUCUGUGCCAGCAGCCGCGGUAAU
rnacentral:rRNA from 1 species